CGCAAUUGAGAUGUAUGGACCAGCUAUUGCGAACAAAAAACAUGUCGCACUUGAGGCAUGAGCGGGGUUGGAGGCGGGGCGGUGAUUGCUAUAGAUCAGUACCGCAGAAGUGACACAGUUUUGUGCCUACACUCGAAUGAAUGCAGAAUCUAUUUGAGUAAGUGGAUAAAAUAAAAAUAAAAUUUCACUUUUUUAUAAAAUUUAUAAUUAAAUAUGGAUCCAUAGUACACUAUAGCUAAUUACCUUAUUUAAAUUACUUAAAUAUUUUCAAAUAUGUACCAUAAUAAAAUUAUUAUAAUGUACGCAUGUAUAAUGUACGUAAUAUUUUAAAUACAUAUUACCAAAAUACAAACUCGUCUACGUGAGUACUUCAUUUAUCGUCGUCUUAUCAUAGAUCUGUAUUCUGCCUACAUUACACUCUGAAUCUACUACUCUAUGACAAUGCAAAAUGGCGCGCGUCUUCGCCUAGUAAUUGAAUGUUCGUAUUUUAAUUGAAAAUAAUUAAAUAAGAAUGCUAAUACCGAUGAAAUGUUAUUCCGUUGCAUUACUGGAAUCAUUUUUGCAGUAUCUUAACCCACAACUAGGCAUUUUUGCGACUUUUUUGGUUUCGUUUUUGAUUGUGGUACGUCUGGCGCGCAGAAGAGCUCGCGGGCGACUAAGUGCACUGCUGCUAUAUAGAUUACGUUGAAUGUGACCAAGCAUUGCGUUGCGUUGUCGAGUCUACGAGUAGUACGUAGUA